rnacentral:rRNA from 1 species
AUUGAACGCUGGCGGCAGGCCUAACACAUGCAAGUCGAGCGGAUGAAGGGAGCUUGCUCUUGGAUUCAGCGGCGGACGGGUGAGUAAUGCCUAGGAAUCUGCCUGGUAGUGGGGGAUAACGUCCGGAAACGGGCGCUAAUACCGCAUACGUCCUGAGGGAGAAAGUGGGGGAUCUUCGGACCUCACGCUAUCAGAUGAGCCUAGGUCGGAUUAGCUAGUUGGUGGGGUAAAGGCCUACCAAGGCGACGAUCCGUAACUGGUCUGAGAGGAUGAUCAGUCACACUGGAACUGAGACACGGUCCAGACUCCUACGGGAGGCAGCAGUGGGGAAUUUUGGACAAUGGGCGAAAGCCUGAUCCAGCCAUGCCGCGUGUGUGAAGAAGGUCUUCGGAUUGUAAAGCACUUUAAGUUGGGAGGAAGGGCAGUAAGUUAAUACCUUGCGGUUUUGACGUUACCGACAGAAUAAGCACCGGCUAACUUCGUG